rnacentral:lncRNA from 1 species
CCUUCAGUAGGAUUGUCCAAUUGUUAUUCUUUUGGACUAGGAAUCUUUUAUAAACUUCCUUAAACCUUUUCUGAGAAAAAGUUGAAAUAUAUAUAUAUGUGUGUGUGUGUGUGUGUGUGUAUAUAUAUGUACAUAUACGUAGAGAGAGAGAGAGAGAGAGAAUUUUGUGAAAAUUUCACUCUAUGCAUUGGAAAAUCACCACAAAAUCAGUAAAUCUGCUUGGCUUUGGCAAGAAGGUCAUUAACAGCAUCUAUUUGGGUUUCAGUUUCAGACAAAGAAGUUAUGAACACCACAGAAUGGGUAGGCUGAUGAAGGGGUCAUUUUUUACCCAAUGGAAACCAUUUUGAGCUUUGAAUAGAUUGUGAGCUCUUACACUAAGAUAAGCAAUGGCCUAUGUCAGUCUAGGAAAACCAUGCUUAAAGAUGCAGGUCCUGAUUCCACUGGACCUGUCUUAUAAAACUGCGGAGCAGUGGGAGAGAGAGUGCCGCUCCAAGCAGCUUGUGAAGUGACUGGGGUCUGCUCAGUGUGGCGAAGUCUGGGAAGGCUGUGGAACACCACCGCUCCAGUAGCUGUGAAAACAUGAAGACCAAGUGUGAGAAUGUGUUGAAAGAGAAGAAAAGUUCACCAACUGUUCAUGUUUCUUCCUG